UACGUAGGGUGCGAACGUUGUCCGGAAUUACUGGGCGUAAAGAGCUCGUAGGUGGUUUGUCGCGUUGUUCGUGAAAACUCACAGCUCAACUGUGGGCGUGCGGGCGAUACGGGCAGACUGGAGUACUGCAGGGGAGACUGGAAUUCCUGGUGUAGCGGUGGAAUGCGCAGAUAUCAGGAGGAACACCGGUGGCGAAGGCGGGUCUCUGGGCAGUAACUGACGCUGAGGAGCGAAAGCGUGGGGAGCGAACAGG
rnacentral:rRNA from 1 species